rnacentral:lncRNA from 1 species
CUCCAACAUCGUUAAAAAUGAUCAAAUACGGAACAUAUCGGCGUGCGCAGGCCAGAGCGCUGAAGCUCGGCGCGCAUCAUUAUUAUACAGCUAGGGCGCAUGCGGAGGACACACACACACACACACACACACACACACAAAAUAUACUUGUUUUCAAUUACAUUUAUUGUGCCCACUUACUUUUUCUUAGGCCCACCCACAAAUGAGUUUCUGGCUACACUAAUGGUGACAUAUGACAGACUUCUCUGAGCUCCGCAGCCAUUACACUUUUCACCUCGCGCACCCCCUAGCGGCAGCUCGCGCACCCCUGGACCACACUUAGGGAAUCCCUGCUUUAAUGAACCACUGGCAGCACCUUAAACAUUUCUUUUGAUUUCGAUUCUUUUAGUUUUUUUCUAUACAUUUUAUCCAUCAGAGUAGAGAAAUGUAGUCUUGGAUCAUUACAAAGUGGAAGUCUGAAUGUAGGCAGCAGCGAUGAAGUUACAGCCGCUCCUUUUUCUCUUUCAGAUGUAAAAUUUGCCACGCCACUCUUUUAUUUGAUUCCCGUCAUGCUGGCUCUUUGAUGUGUUCCUCCCACGUAAAAGACUCUAAAACCGCUUGUGCUGACCCCAGUCAACGAUUCAGAUCCCCUGAGAAUAAACCCAGAAGUGAGUCUGGGGCGGGUUUUCCAGCCCUCUGCUCUUUGGAUGGACUGCCCAUCACCAACGUUCCUCGUUACGCUCAGAAAGCGGAAUCACAAGACAGACCAGGAGCAGAAGGAAGUAUUUAUCCUGUUCCAGCACCCAGACGAAGUUUAGACUCCUCUACGGUCUCUGUUCCUGCUCCCAGAGCCAAAACAAUGAGCAGCUCCCCUAGUGCAGAGAUUUCAAAAAAUCAAAGUAAAUCACCUGGUUUGCAUGUCGCGGGCCCUAAAGUGAAAUCCAACCAUCCCUGGAUGGCCAUCGUGCACCCCGGUCCGUGGUCACAGCUCCCGCCAGCUCCACCUCCAGUACCUCUCCCUCGGUCCAAAUCGACCCCUUACUCAUGGGGAUCAUCAAGCAGACCCAAAAUGCCUCCUCCCAAUCCGUUUGAAGAGGAGGAGCUCCUAGAGGAAGCUGCCACACCCGAGGAGACCUCUGCAGCCGCCGUCCAAUCGGAAAACGGUGAUGUAGUUGGUUCAAGUGAUGCCAAAGGUCCUGUCACUGAAUCUGAGCUGAAUACAGAUCAAACAGCGUAUUCUGAAGGGGGGUGUGGAGGUAAAGAAGUUGAAUCAGAAGCAGCGACCCCCACAGAGGGAGGAUCAGCUGGCCAGAUUGAGAUCACACCUGAGCACUCUGCCUCGGACCCAGCAGGACAACAGGAAGCUAAUGGAUGUGACAAGAAGGUAAGAAUGCCAAGCACCUACCUCGAUCUAAUGUUAAUGUUUGUCUAG